CGGAUUUGAGUACUUCUGAUCAAGUGACAAAGUGAUAAGUGGUAGCUUUAGCUACACUUAUCUGAUCAAGUGACAAGUGGAAAGUGAUAAGUAAUAGCUUCGGCUAUACUUAUCUGAUCAAGUGACAAAGUGAUAAGUGGUAGCUUUAGCUACACUUAUCUGAUCAAGUGACAAGUGGAAAGUGAUAAGUAAUAGCUUCGGCUAUACUUAUCUGAUCAAGUGACAAAGUGAUAAGUGAUAGCUUCGGCUACACUUAUCUGAUCAAGUGACAAGUGAAAAGUGAUAAGUGAUAGCUUCGGCUAUACUUAUCUGAUCAAGAGACAAAGUGAUAAGUGAUAGCUUUAGCUACACUUAUCUGAUCAAGAGACAAAGUGAUAAGUGGCUACACUUAUCUGAUCAAGAAACAAAGUGAUAAGUGGCUACACUUAUCUGAUCAAAAAACAAAGUGAUAGGUGGCUACACUUAUCUGAUCAGGGACAAGUGAUAAGUGAUCAUACGUAAGACCAUAGUUAUACUAUGGCAAAGUGAAAGUGAAGUACUCAAUUUUCCGUGACCGUUCCCUAAUUUGAUUAAGGAUGGUAAGUGACAAAUGGGCCCAAAAGAAUUAAAGUAAAUGGAUAAGUGGUAGUGUAUUUAUAUCAGGACGAUGUUGUUAUUCAAACUAAAGUGAUAUUUUCAUUGCUAAAUUGAGAAUUUCAUAAAUGUGUUAUUGAAUGGUAUAAUCAAUAAACAUUGAGUUAAAUGGUAAAUACGUAUUAGUUUUGAAUUUGAUGUCAUUGAAUUGCACGUGAAUUAAAUGGAAAUUGCUAGUGAUAUGAUUUAAAUUAUGAGCAUGAGAAAUUGCGAAUUGAAUGAAAUGGAAAUGAAGCAUUAAAUUGCAUGAGUAUGUAUCGGGUCUCGCAGGCCCUAAUUAUUAUGAUUAUAAUAUUUUGAGGAUAUAUUGUGAAAAGUUAUAGAAACAUGUUAAUUAUUUUGAAAGUUUUAAUUUUGAUGAAAUUUUAUAACUCGGUUAAAUACGUUUACAAGUGUAUGUGUUUUGGUAAUGCCUCGUACCCUAUUCCGGUG
rnacentral:lncRNA from 1 species